GCAAAGGUUCAUGCGUUCAUAAGUUGAGCUAUGCUAGGAAAGCAGUUUGGUGUGGCUGCUCUGUUGGCAGCCAUAACGACAACAGUUCGCUACUCUCAGGGAGCAUGUGUAGGAGGAGGAGGUACCCUACAAACUUUGUCCAUUGCAGAGUUUCUGAAUACAAGGGAGCCCAUUUGGACGUAUAAUUCGACAGCAACAACUUCUCCUGUCUGCAAAGUUGACGUGAUUCAGCAAUGUACCUGGACAAGCGUUUAUUUUAGAAGGCUGUAUAUACAAGCCCUCACAACGCAUCGCAACAAUCUUACUGGAAAUAUUCCUAGGGGUCAACCGGACACAAUGUACAUCACCGCACCAGAUAACAGGUGCCAACAGGAGCGACUGGUCUACGUGAGCCAUAACCGUAGCUGUGCAGUAGUCUCGGUCACCUCAAGUUGCCCAACUGGCAUUCAUUAUGUUGAACUCCGUGUUCGCAAUUCAUCCAUUUCGACUGGACCUGAUUGUGGCUGUUCACACAAAUUUGACCAAUACCGUAGCCGAGGGCAUCAAGUUUAUACAGCGGACUGCCAGAAGAUACUUCAGCCGGGCUGUCAAAGUGUGUCUUGUUAUGGUGGCUAAAGUUUUCUAAUAGAGCUUUUUGUUUGUUGAGCUGAAGAAUUUGCAGAGGAAGAAAAAAUAAAAAUGAAAUUAACCUUGUGUGAAAAGAAAUUAUGAACAACACAACGUUAAAAUUGCAGAUUGGUAUGAUUUACAUAAACAAAAACAAAAUGCAAUAUUGCGGAAGGAAAGUGGGGAAAAAAACUACUCGUGGCUGCUUCACCAGCUCCAAUGUCCAUUAAAAAAAGGAGCCGUAGAAUGGAUGCAAAGUUUUUCUAACAGCUUAAAAUUCAAUGGCGAUAAGAUACGACAUAUAUGUAAGGUGAUAAAUGGAAACAAAGUCAGGUACACGAUGCUUAUAAAAAUACA
rnacentral:lncRNA from 1 species